rnacentral:rRNA from 1 species
CCUACGGGAGGCAGCAGUGAGGAAUAUUGGUCAAUGGACGGAAGUCUGAACCAGCCAUGCCGCGUGCAGGAAGACGGCUCUAUGAGUUGUAAACUGCUUUUGUACAAGGGUAAACCUGAAUACGUGUAUUCAGCUGAAAGUACUGUACGAAUAAGGGUCGGCUAACUCCGCGCCAGCCGCCGCGGUAAUACGGAGGAUCCAAGCGUUAUCCGGAUUUAUUGGGUUGAAAGGGUGCGUAGGCGGAUGGAUAAGUUAGAGGUGAAAUGUCCGGGCUUAACUCGGGAACUGCCUCUAAUACUGUUGAUCUAGAGAGUAGAUGCGGUAGGCAGAAUGUAUGGUGUAGCGGUGAAAUGCUUAGAGAUCAUACAGAACACCGGUUGCGAAGGCAGCUUACCAAUCUAUAUCUGACGUUGAGGCGCGAAAGCGUGGGGAGCAAACAGGAUUAGAUACCCGUGUAGUC